CCGUUGCGUAUAUUAUUGUUAUUCAUUAUAAUAAUCUCGCACGUGAAAAUCGAAGCACUGCUUAAUCGAUAAUAGCGGUAUUAUAGUCGGACGAUUUAGCGGUUUCGACGGUCCCGGUCGGUUUAUAUACCGGGUGGCGUGUAUCGUGGGCCUUUGUGACGGUUGGGGGCAGCAGCGGAUAAGAUCUGUUUGUUCAGUUCGGUACCUCGCCUGCGCCCGCCGAAUUAACGCAAAAGCUCCGUAUCGGAAUAAUCCGCGCACGAAAUGCACG